UUCUCACCCCCCUCUCUGAAACGAACAGCCCCCGCUUAUUUUUCCAGCAAACCUGUUCGUCGAAUAUAUGAUAACGAUGCUCUUUUUCCGAAUAUUUGUACUUUUGAUUUCCUGUUGAACUUUAAAUUGUAUCGACUUGUUCGUUUCGUCUCAGCUUGUUCCACUUGCUGUGGUCUUUUUCCCGAGCACAAAAUCGUGAAUUGAUCUCUUCUUUACUAGAUUUAAGUGGGAUUUGUGUUGUGAUGGACGAUGGGGAGCUUGAUUUUUCGAACCAAGAAGUGUUUUCCGGCAAUAACAUAGGUGAUAUUCCUAGCAGUUGCUCGAUGGACAGUUUUUUUGAUGAAUUACUCAAUGAUUCCCAUGCCUGUACCCAUACACACACUUGCAACCCACCCGGCCCUGAUAACUCUCAUACGCACACAUGUUUUCAUUUUCACACCAAAAUCGUGCCUGCCACGAGUGAAGAUAAUGUUGCUGUUGAUGAUUCGGCCGAGUCUAGGGAGAAGAAAUCGAAGAAACGUACUUUAGGUAAUCGAGAAGCUGUUAGGAAGUAUAGGGAGAAGGUUAAGGCACGAGCUGCUUCUUUGGAGGACGAGGUUGUGAGAUUGAGAGCAUUGAACCAGCAGCUGGUGAAGAGAUUACAAGGUCAGGCUGCAUUGGAGGCUGAGGUCGUGAGGCUUAAGUGUUUGCUUGUUGAUAUUCGAGGAAGAAUCGAAGGGGAGAUUGGAUCGUUUCCUUAUCAGAAACCAGCAACUAAUGUUAACAUGAUCAAUGUGCCUAGUGAUGCUUAUGUGACGAAUCCCUGCAAUGUGCAAUGCAACGAUCAGAUGUAUUGCCUUAAUCCUGGAGGUGAAGAUAAAACAGGAGAAGCUGCUGCGCUGAAUGGACAAGGAUUUAAUGGUUGCGGCUUCGACAAUAUUCAGUGCUUGGCGAAUCAGAACUCUGGAGCAAAUGAGCUUUCUACCGGUGGGGUUAGAAUUGGAGGAUCCAAUGGCAAUUCUUCUAGCACAAAAAGGAGGAAAGGUGUUCAUCAAGCUACAGCAGGUUGAUAACCGUUCGGAAGGGGGUACAUAUUUGUGUUCUAACAAGCGGUUUCCUUUGGAUGCAUAACCUUCAUUAGUCAGAAUAAAUGGUGGAAUAACUUUGAGGUUUCGAAAGUGUGAGCCCUUACAGGUGAGUUACAAGUUCCACUCCUUGCAGUCAUGCUUUGUGAUUCACAUAUGAAGCUACGAAUUAGCUUGCAUUGGUUUCGGCCUUUCCUAUUCCGGUUUUGCAUGGCAUUGACAAAGCGCAGGAAGUUUGCCUUUUGCAUAUGAGCAUUCUUUAGCUGUGGGGUUGCCUACUCGAGAGUGAAGUGGCCGUCUUUUAAUAAAAAAUUAUGGUCUGUAAGUGAUAACGGACCCCAGAGAUUAACCCUCGUCUACCUUGCUAAUGCUACAAUGCUAGAGUUGGAACGAAAAUACAAAGGAAAGUGUGGGUUUGAGGUUGGGUAAUUCAAGCAUUCUUAGAUCCUGAAUUUCAACUGUUGACUUGUUCUUGUCUUUAUUGCUGGCGAUUUCAGACAAAGAUGUUUGAACCGAAACUGGGAUUCAGAAUCUCUGGAUCAAGAGUAUUGAAUUGGGAAUUACAGGGAAACAGCCUCUGCUUUUGGUGUUCC